GCAAGGCCUCAGGAGUCACGUGAAAUGCAGCUCACACAUUGGAUGAAACAAGUCUCCAAAGGAAAAAUUUAAUUAUAGGCUGAGCUGAUGUUGGCCCACUGAUUGGGACAAUACUGCCAUCUGUAUCAACACAGAACCUCAACCUUAUGGUAAGUCAUAGUCACAGAAUUAAACAUAUUAUAUAUAGAUGGCCACUUGAUUUAAUAAUGCUACAAUCUAUCUCUUUAAAAAUGUGAGCAGGCCAAAAGGGAAUAUAUUUGUAAGCAGGCAAGGUUGGUAGCUACUCCUCUCUCUUCCUCUUUUGGAACUGAAUGGAUUUUGGUGUGUACACCGGAGGAGCUGAACACUCAUCACCGGUUGAAGCUGGGGUCUUGGCGGAUCUGAAGGGGGUGGCGGAGGAGAAGGCAGAGAUGAAGAGCAGUCUCUGAUCCAUGCAAAUAGAAGGUGGUAGUACCGGUAAAUGCACUUACAAGUUUGCAAACCAUCAUUAAUGAGAAGAAGAAAAAGAAGUUGGUGGCUACUCACUUCCUGUUUAGGUCCUGAUGCCAGUGCUAGCAUUGUAGCAGCAGAGCGUGUGAGCAGUAUGCAUUAUCGUCUUGUCCCAUCAGGUGGGCUGUUUAGAUUGUUUGAGGUUUUGUAAUGUAACUCAAAUGUAGUUGUCUUGAUAUGUUUCUUGUGUGAUUUUAAUUUUUGUAAAGUAGACGAGGAUGUUCACCUCUCAAAUUUGGAUGAUGAAAACGAGCUAAAGGAUGGGAUAACCGCAAGUUGAGCUUGACAAAAACAUUAAAGGCAUGAUGGCUGGGGGACUGGAGGACCUACAAGCAGAGCUGCAGCGGUUACAAGAACCGAAUUAGAGACUGAGAGAACAACAAAAUAAUGGAGGUAAAGCCACAAGUGACUUUGUACCUGCUAUAACCCAACGUUGGGAAUUCAUAUACAGUAUGUAUCAUGAGAACGUAUAUGCUCUAAAUUCUUAGGAAGGCCUAAAGUCUUUCCUUGUAUUGAGGAUUGGGUUGAAGAAGUGCAAAGCUGUACUAGAGGUAAUCAUAUGUCUAAGUUGGAAAAAAGAUUUGUAUGUAUAUGUCCAUUUGGAAGGGGAAGCCCGUACAGAAAUUAAAUUUAGGUUUUAAGUGAAGUACAGGAAGAUGCAGAAAUGUUUUUUUUAUGUUUUGAUUGAAUUGUACUCUUGCUCACAUUCAUUUAUUUCAUUACAAGGAUGGCGUUUUGAUCGUAAACAAGGAGGAAGAGACAUUAAAAAAGUUUUCUUUUUUAAUUGAUGGCUCUGAUGGAGAAAGUAAAAAAAAGCUAUCCAAA